UGGGAAACUGAAGUAAAUGAUCACAUUAAUCUCUCAUAGCUCUGUGGCCUUAUGAAGAAUAGAGCCAAGUGGAGUCCUGGCCAUCAGAGUCUUUGGUAAAGUAAAGGGUAGACUACAGGACUGUGCCACAGAACAUGGUCAUGGAAACCAGAAGACCCAGAAGAUGGCACAAGGGCAAAGAAAACAAUGAAUAGAGAGCCAGCAAGACUACCAUGAGGCUAUCUUGGCUUGGGGUAAGGUGACCCAGCUGAAGAAGCUGAGGGAUGGAGAGACAAGUGUCUGGGAAACAAUAGGACUGUUGGCCACAAGAGAACCAAGGUGGGACCAAGUCAACCAUGCCCAAAGGACAUGGGCUCUGAGAAGAAUUCAGGAGAAACUAAAAUGUCAUUAAGUAAUAAGUUUAAGUCUUGACCCUUCAGCAGAAUGGAGCUGGUAGAGGUCAUACCAGUGUUGGAAAAAUAAAGAAGUCAGCCCUAUGCCUGAUCCAUAAAUAUACAGAAUGCAAAGCCAUAUGAUCUCCUGAAGUUCAUUUGCUCACUGACAUUAGGUUAAUAUUGUUCCCUCUGUGGAGAGGCUCAGAAAUGUAGGAGGUUG